CUGAAAGGAUGAUCAGCCACACUGGAACUGAGACACGGUCCAGACACCUACGGGUGGCAGCAGUUUCGGAAUCAUUCACAAGGGGGGAAACCCUGAUGGUGCAACAGCCGCGUGGGGGAUGACGGGCUUCGGGUUGUAAACCCCUGUCACCAGGGAAUAAACGUACGGUUCGUGACCGUGCCUGAAUUAGCCUGGAGAGGAAGCAGUGGCUAACUCCGUGCCAGCAGCCGCGGUACUACUGAGACUGCAUGCGUUACUCGGAUUUACUGGGCGUAAAGGGUCCGUAGGCGGCCGUGUGUGUCGGGUGUGAAAUCCUGCAGCUUAACUGUAGCAUUGCGCUCGAAACUACACGGCUAGAGUAUUGGAGAGGUGAAUGGACUUCCAGGUGUAGCGGUGACAUGCGUACAUAUCUGGAGGAAUACCAACGGCGACGGCAGUUCACUGGACAAUGACUGACGCUGAGGGACUACAGCGUCGGGAGCGAAUGGGAUUAGAUACCCCUGUAGUCCACGCCGUAAACAUAGAGCAAUCCAUAUCGCCGGAUCAGACCCCGUCAGUGCCCAAGCUAACGCGAUAAGGGCACCGCAGUGAGGAAGACGACUGCAAGGCUAAAACUCAGAGGAAUAGACGGGUCCCCGCACAAGCGGUGGAGCACGUGGCUACACUCGAAGCAACGCGAAGAACCGCACCAGCUCUAGACAUGUAGCGGACCGGGGCAGGAGAUAGCCCCUUCUCUAUCUGGAUCCAGCUUCACAGGUGCUGCAUGGCAGUCGUCAGCUCGUCUCGUUGAGAUGUUAGGUUAAGUCCGUCAACGCGCUCAUCCCCUGUCCGUAGUGGCCAGCAUUCAGUUGGGGACUUUAAGGAGACAUUCCCGCUUUUGCGUGAGGUAAGAUGGGGAUGAUGUUAAGUCAAUAUGGCCCUUACGUCAUGGUCUGAACACGUGUUACGAUGCUCGGUACGAUAAGGUCGUUACUUCGCGAGGAGAUGCUAAUCCAGCAAGCCGGUCCCAGUUCGGAGUGGAGUCUGCAAUUCGACUCCACUGAAGUCGGAAUCGCAUAGUAAUGGCGCAUCAGCAAUGGCGCGGUGAAUACGUUCCCGGGGACUUGUACACACAGCCCGUCACAUCAUGAAGCCGGUUUCGCC
rnacentral:rRNA from 1 species